rnacentral:rRNA from 1 species
AUUCCAGCUCCAAUAGCGUAUAUUAAAGUUGUUGCAGUUAAAAAGCUCGUAGUUGAAUUUCGGGGUUCUUCCGUUGGUCAGGCUAACAAGUCUGUACUAGCGUGUAGAAUCUCUACCUUCUGGGGAACCAUCAUGUUAUUAAUUUAGCGUGGUGGGAAACCAGGACCUUUACCUUGAAAAAAUUAGAGUGUUCAAAGCAGGCUUACGUCUGAAUACAUUAGCAUGGAAUAAUAAAAUAGGACGGUGGUCCUGUUUUGUUGGUUUCUGAAUCACCGUAAUGAUUAAUAGGGAUAGUUGGGGGCAUUAGUAUUCAAUUGUCAGAGGUGAAAUUCUUGGAUUUAUUGAAGACUAACUUCUGCGAAAGCAUUUGCCAAGGAUGUUUUCAUUAAUCAAGAACGAAAGUUAGGGGAUCGAAGACGAUCAGAUACCGUCGUAGUCUUAACCAUAAACUAUGCCGACUAGGGAUCGGACGAUGUUAAAUUUUAUUGACUCG